CCCCAGAGUUCUUUUACCACAGUCUUUGAUGUCUGCAAGUGGAACCAUUUCUCAUUGGUGCUAAGAUGACUGCUUGAUGUAUGGUCAGUGUGGUGACCCUUGGGUCCAGUCCUUCAUCAGUGAUGUCACAAUUAAGACAUGAAAAGCCACAAUUCCGCCUGAGCUCCAUCAUGGACAAAUGUGGUGAUGUCAUCCCUAAGUCAAUGAACUCCCACUGCUUUUCACUCAGCGAAUCCUAAAGAUGUCUCCAGGGAGCCUGGGGUCUGAAAAAGGGGCGACCUCUUCCACCACAUGGCACCUGACAGGAGACUGAGGACAGGGAAGACCACCCCCUCCUGCAGGUAGGAUAUCCCUGAGGGCCCACCUGGCUCCAUCUUGUCUCCAGUGGGUCUUGGUAACCAUGCUGGGCUCCUGGAGGGCUACUUCCAGGUCCCAAGUCAAAAGAGACUGCUCGAUACAUGGUCCCAUGCACAGGGCCAUCUAUUUUCAGGACAGCCUUAAUGUAUCUUUUUGAGGUGAUAAACCCAGGAAGGGGCAGUGCUGAAAGGAGAGAUCACCCAGAAUAUUUUGUCGAGAGGAACCUGCACCAAAGGUCUGACAGCUGCAUGUCUGCGGCCCGGACACAGCCUGGGAGGAGAGGCGGAAGGAGUUCACACAACGCGCUUCCAGGUGGAUGCGCUACUUUUUUCUCAAGUAAAACAUUUAUGAACGAGGAAUAAACUCUCUUAAAAGGGCCGCCCACUGACUAUGGAAAAAUGAUAAACAAUUAAAAUAUCGGGUCUCUUUGUGGUUGAUAAUGAUGCUGUGAAUCGGAGACGGGAAGCUGGCGUUCGGGAACGUGAGGAGGGAUCUGGGAUUUUAGGGAUUUAUUGUCGGUCCUGGAAGAGCUGGGGGGACAGGGUCAUGGAUUUGAGACGCUGCUCCCCAAACAUUUACAAAACUCAGGAGAAAACGGGUGCCCCCUGUGGAGAAAGGAGGCCCUGGGGACCCACAGACCGCAGCCCCUCCGCGCACGGACCCCGGAGCCCGAGGCCCGACUGUCCUGCGGGCCCUCCCGCGGGCGCCGCACCGUCUGGGACACGCGGGGCUACGGGCACACAGCGGGCCAGAGACGCUCCGGCCCAAGUCGCCGCGCGCAGGGAACACAGGACGCCCGGGGCCCGGCUGCCGGCCCCGCCCCCACGCUGCGGCCGGAGGGGCCUGAGGGCCGAGCGGCGCCACCGCGGACGCAGAGCCCGGAGGGGACCGCGGGAGUCCAGGAUCCCCUGGGGUCCUCUCUACGAUUCGGUAGAGGACGCAGCGCGACAGAGUUGACAGCAGAGCAACCUGAGGCGCGGGCGACUGGAAGGACCGGGAUGCGACAGGAAGUCGGGAGCGGUUGCGGGGCGUUGCCCCGCCCACCUGCCCUGGAGCCGACCCUGAUUGGACAGUUGGAAAGGACCCGCCCCCGCACUCCUGAGUGACAGCAGGACAGAGAACGUGUUUUGUUCUUUAGUAAGCGCAUCUCUUUUCAUUAUAUAUACUGGGAAGUGACUUUAAAAAUGUGAGUGUGUGUAGAGGAAGCUCCAUCUUUGACUUCAGGAGUGUUCCAUGGAGAAAAGUUGAUUAUAUUUCCACGGAGGUGACGGCUCUGUCACCUCACCAGAAAACACUCAAACUUGUCUGCUCAUGGAACUCACACAUGGUGUUAACCCUAAAUCUCCACAUUUCAUGUAUAUUUUGCUGGACUGUGACUUUCGUUCAAUAAUGUUUUGUUAAGUAUAGUGUAUGUAUUUACACAACGUUCAGCAAAUUGACUCCCUCAUUAGUUGUAGUAAUUUUCCAGUUAUUUUAUCUUUAGUUUGUCAAAUAAACAAUGCUGUCAUAUUUGUUUUUUCCAUCUUAUUCAUCAGUUUCAUCAUUGUGUUUUCUGACAUGAAGUUAGAGAUUAAAGCAAUGAUAAAUACUUGGAGUGGAAAGAAACAUCUGUGAUGGUUGUCUGGAUUGCCUCCUCCUUUCGAUGGGCUGCCUCUCACACAGCAGCUCCUCUUCAUGCUCUGCUCCCAAACAUCUUCUAUGACUACCAAGCUGACCUGGCAGUCAUUGUGCCUAAGAGUGACCACAGGAUUUUAACAUCAUAAAGUGACUAAAAAUACUCUGGCACCAUCUUCAGAUUUCAACCAAGAGCAAGGGC
ensembl:lncRNA